CAGGCAUGCAAGCAGGGUGCGUGCAUGCGCGUAUGUGCACGUGCACAUUGAUGCAUAUAGGUCUUAUACAUGCAUACAUAUAUUUUGAAAUAUAAAAAUGUAAACGAGGAUCAGAUAUAGAGUUUUUAACAAACGUGCGUGUUCAUAGGCGCCAAAUUCUUUCUCCGCCGGUGGCAGCGUCAUGCUUACUUAGCAACGAAAGAAGCUCUGAAGCGCCCACGCGCUUUGAAGAGGAGAAAAGCGGCGCGGUCACGUUUCCCGCGUGGUUUCAGACGCGACAUGUAAUGUAAAUGUUAAAGCAACUGUGCGUAUGUGUUGGCCGUUUCGGUGGCUGCCCGAGCCGAGCCCCGGAGGACCCAGGGGAUCAGGGCAUAUCUGCGUGUUUCUUUGUAGCACUUCCACUCAUAAAACAACAAGUGAGAAACCUUUUUGUGGUUAUAAUGUUUCAACCUGCGCUGAAAACGCGUUCUGAUGAUGUACUGGUAGCGCAGAUUGAUACUUUUUCGCAACUUUGAAUGACUAAGAGGGAACGUCCGUUUCUCAACCGAAGGCUGCAACCUCCGGAGGUCGCAUAUGCAGGCUGUAUGUCAUCAAGCCUUAUUAUUUUCAUACAUUUGCAACUCAUAAGCAUAUUACAACAAUGUAUGAUCAACAAAGAAUAACAGUCAAGCUUUCAAAAAUGAUAUUGGUAUGAAAAAUGACUGUAUAUUUGAAUCCAUGUUUCUUUGUCUUUUAGGUGUUGGCAACAGCAACAGACGUUGAAAAAACACUAGCUUCCUGUCUAUUUUUGUGAAUUGCUCACAGCAAGCGUUUGGAUGCUGAGCAUUGGGUGGUUGUGCAUCCACAUCCCCACUUCGUGGCUGGAAAGGCAGUUUGUUUUCUAGCUACUACAACUUCAAUUUUGUGUACCAGGAGCAAGCAUCUUGCACACUGGAGUUUAUUCAAAGAUGCUUCAUUGGACUGAACCCAUCCACCAAGACAGCAAAGGUGGUUAGCCAAAAAAGCGGGAAGGUACAGGAGAAAAAGAACAACUGCAUUAACCCUAACGUCUCCUCUCUACUCAAGCGGCUGAUAGAUUUUGAAUGGCUUCAAUUGUAAGUCUCAAGCGACUUCCUCACAAUAUGAAUGGACACUGAAUUUAAUAUGAUUUUCACUGAAUGUUAAGAAAAUAAAUAGAAUAUGCUGUUAAGAAAAAGACCUUCUGAAAAUGUACAGUAUUGUAACACUGUAUUUUGUUUUAAUAAUAAACAUUCAUGAUUUUGCAUCUUGGACUAUGGUUUUAUUUAGCAGUUGAAGAGAAUCUUAUCCAAUGAUGUUUGGAUUUAAAGCAGGCCUGGUCUUAUUUAAAACACUUUACAAUAGGCAUCAGCAAAGAUGCGAAUGUAAAGAACAAAAUUAACUAUUUAUUUUUUACAACAACAUAAUGUAUUGUAAAAUAUUAACAGAUUUUUGCUGGCAAAUCGAGUUGGCAGCAAAAAGAUGUAAUUAUUUCAAAACACAAUAUGUUGUUGUAAAAAAGAUUCUACAAUAACAUAUUGUAUUGUGAGGAAUUUACAGAUAUUACCUGGCAACUCUAGUUGCCAAGUAAUAUCUGUAAUUUGAAAAGAAAACAAGAUAAUGUUGUAAACUAAAUUACAAUAAAGUAGUGUUUUAAUAUAAAAACCUAAUACUUUGCUGUAAUUUAUGUACAACAAUAACCUGUAAAUGAAAUCCAGUAUUAUACUGUAAUUAAUUUUUACAGUUAUUAAAAGCAAAUUCACAAGACUUUACAAGAUUUUACUGGCAACUUUUUUGCCAGGUACUUACUGUAAAAUCUACAGGCAAAUUCGUUAC